GAGGGUCUAGCUCAGUGGUAGAGCACAUGCUUAGCAUGCAUGAAGUCCUGGCUUUCAAUCCCCAGUACUUCCA
rnacentral:tRNA from 1 species